rnacentral:rRNA from 1 species
AUAACGACUCUCGGCAACGGAUAUCUUGGCUCUCGCAUCGAUGAAGAACGCAGCAAAAUGCGAUACUUGGUGUGAAUUGCAGAAUCCCGUGAAUCAUCGAGUUUUUGAACGCAAGUUGCGCCCAAAGCCUUCUGGCCGAGGGCACGUCUGCCUGGGUGUCACGC